rnacentral:lncRNA from 1 species
UUGCUGUUGAAUCAAACUCUAUUCAACAUGAUUAAAUUUCAUGAUUUUAAAAUUUUAGUAUAUCUCUAAAAUUGUGGGGGGAGCGCCUUUAUCAGUUUGAUAAAUUUUGAUAUUAUAUUUGCUCUCGUUAUUUCAUUUUGUUUAUCCUAAUGUUUAGCUUGUAAAUGAUAUUAGUAAAUUCUAAAGUUAACUGACAUAUUAAAUUGAAAUAGAAGUAUGUUAGAUGACUAACCUUUCAUGAUAUUAUUAUUUUAGUUUUGUCAGAUUUGAUCAGAAAUCUUGCAGAUUGCUUGAUGAAAGGCCUGAAUAGGACUAAGGUCCUGGAGUCAUCGAGGGGGAUGGGACUUUGCCCGUAAAGGGCCUUCCUGCAGUGGGAACCCAACCUUUGUGAUAGGAGAUCCCUUGAAGAAGGUUCAAUGUGGUAAAAACAAGCUGUCAGGUUGACCAAGAGCACUUUCUACAAAUUUUAUAAAGGAGCUUUAGCUCCAAUUCCAUCCUUAUGGUGAGUAGUGCUCUGUGUAGUGGAUUAGGUUGAGCUGAGAGCUCUUAAUGGGAUUCAAGGCGAUAAUUUUCGCGAGAUGUGACUCUACACACAUCUCUGGAGGAAACCACCUAUAUAAGAGUAUCCGUAUGUGGCCGCGGCUAUGUGAUAUGGGCUAUCCAUAGAAACUCUUAUGAAAAAUCAAGGUACUGUGCAUGGCCAUUAACGCACAGACCCGCGACGGAGAAUUUUGUACUGUGUGUGUGGUGGUUGAAGUCAGGGUCAAAGGAACGUAGUUCAAGAUCUGGUUCACUCCGAUUCCUUCUGAUGGAAAUCACUUACACUAAGUGGGGUUAAGUCUCUUAAAGACACCUCACCCAUUGCAUAGUAUAAAACACCCAGUAAAUUUGAUUUUAAUUCGUAAUUUUAAAAUUUUGAGUUUUGUGGGGGAUUGUUGGUAAAAACUCAAAAUUUUGAGUUUGAAUUUAUUUUAUUUGCACUUUGAUGUUUUAUUAUUUAUUAUUUAUCAUUUAUUAUUUUAUUUAUUUAUUACUUUAUUUAUUUUAUUUAAUUUAAUUAUUUUAUUAUGUUUCUUAAUGAGAAAGAAACUA